AGGGGCUAUAGAAAAUGUCCAAAUCCUUUCUAGGCUGCUGACAGUGGAGGUCUGUGGUCACUCAGCUGUGAUUGCCAUGAGUGGAGGAGCCUGGCGUGACUCCAUGCCCCUAGAUCUGUGCAGGGCAAAGCGCUGCCACCUGAGGCAAGGGGUACCACUGUGACUCAGAGCUGAAGGAAGGCUCUCCAGGAGCUGAGACUAAUCCUGCCUGCUGCUGCAUUUCCAUCCUCUCCAGGAGGUCCGGCAGCUGUCUGCAGGGUGGGAGCAGCCCAAGAACCGGUUGCGAGAGCGGCUGCAGCAAGCAAAGGCAGAAGCGGCAGCCUGGGAAGCCUGGUCUGCAGGGCAGGACCGAGAGCCACCUCAGGCCCUCAGCACUGAAGACACUCGGAUUCCCCACCCUCCAGCCCAGCCCAGGAGAAGGGAGGUCAGCUGCAGGUGGAGGAAGGCUGAAAAUCUUCUCCCAGCAGAGGAGAGGGCAGUAGCAGCCCAGCUGGAGAGACUGCGACUAGAGUAAGUGUGCACUGGCUCUGGCCCCAGCCUGGAGCGGUCCAGCAGCCAUGACCACGCAGAGAUGGCCAGGUUCCCCAUCCCUGAGUCUUGGGGUGCCACAGGACAGCCUCUGGUGUCCCCUGCCUGGGGCAUGACCAGGGUUACCCACACAGCCAAGGCCUAAAACUCACCCGCAGGGUGAAAGGCGGGGCACGUGGGGGAUAGGGUGGGCACAGGGGCUGGAGCGGGGAGAGGCAGAGGGGUCUCCGGCAGAGGCUGAAGGAUGACCUUUCCUCAUUGUUGCAGCCACCUUUCCCCACGAGCUGCCCAGGUCCUCAGAAAGCUGGAGCCGCACCAGAGACAGAGGAGCAUCUACCAGCACGUCGCUGAGGAGCGGAGGCGGCGUCGAGAGCAGCAGAGGCAGCUCCCCUGGUAAGCGUCUCCAAAAAGGGAUGGUGCCGCCCCUGGCUGCAGGGUCCCUGCCUCCACUGAGGGCAGUCCCGGGGCAAAGAGGACAUUUGUCUGACAGCCCUCGUGAGACAGAAGCAGGUUUUGGAGGCUGGCUUUGGGCUGGACCUCCCUGACACCCAGGGGGGCUGCCUCGGCACCCAGAACAGGCUUUCCAUGGGGGAUGUAAAAGUCCUGGCUGAAGGCAGAGGGGUCCCUCUGAUGGAGGGCGCUCUCCUUUCCAAACCAGAGAGCGUGGCCUUCCCUUGCAGAGUCCUGCCCCAAGACACCUUGCCCCCGGGGGAAACACCCAAGGUCUCAGCCCCACCAGACUGAGCCCCAGGCUGACCA
rnacentral:lncRNA from 1 species